rnacentral:rRNA from 1 species
UACGGGGGGAGCAAGCGUUGUUCGGAUUUACUGGGCGUAAAGGGCGCGUAGGCGGUCAUUCAAGUCACUUGUGAAAUCUCCGGGCUCAACCCGGAGCGGCCAAGUGAUACUGGACGACUAGAGUGCGGAAGGGGCCAUCGGAAUUCUCGGUGUAGCGGUGAAAUGCGUAGAUAUCGAGAGGAACACCUGCGGCGAAGGCGGGUGGCUGGGCCGACACUGACGCUGAGGCGCGAAAGCCAGGGGAGCGAACGGG